rnacentral:rRNA from 1 species
GAUUAACGCUGGCGGCGUGCAUAGCACAUGCAAGUCGAACGAUGAAACUUAAAUGAUUUCUUCGGAAUGAACUUAAGUGGAUUAGUGGCGGACGGGUGAGUAACGCGUGAGUAACCUGCCUUACACAAGGGGAUAGCCGUUGGAAACGACGAAUAAUACCCUAUGAAACUAUCACUUCGCAUGAAGCGAUAGUCAAAGUGUUAGCGGUGUAAGAUGGACUUGCGUCUGAUUAGCUAGUUGGUGAGAAAAAAGCCCACCAAGGCAACGAUCAGUAGCCGGCUUGAGAGAGUGUACGGCCACAUUGGGACUGAGACACGGCCCAGACUCCUACGGGAGGCAGCAGUGGGGAAUUUUGCACAAUGGGGGAAACCCUGAUGCAGCGACGCCGCGUGAUUUAGAAGGCCUUCGGGUUGUAAAAAUCUUUUGUAUAGGAAGAAAAUGACAGUACUAUACGAAUAAGGUCCGGCUAAUUACGUG